CAGAAAGCUGGAACCAUAAUCCUGGAUUCCUGCAGAACAUACAAGUGCUUCCGAGCUCAUUAAAGGACAUCAGAGAAUACAAGGCUUCUGCAGGAUACAUGGAAUCAGAUCCAUUAUAGCAACUGUAGAAGGAAAAUAAUGAUUACUACUGGUUAGAACCGAGCAUUACAAAUGGAAUGUUCCAAGGAGUCUUCAACGUUGCAUUAUACAACAAUCACAGAGACAAAGGAUAUGGCCCUUCUUACACUCCAACCUCACGGAUAAUUAACAUGACUUCUCUGUCCAGUAUCAAAUACCUCCAGUUCCUGGGACUGUAGAUGCUCACGAAGCACAACUGGAAUCAGACGUUGGCAAAAAGGAGCAUUUCAUGCAAGCCUGACAUUUAACAGCUAAUAAAGAGUGACUGAUCUUGACCAACUUUGUGGGUUCAGUGAUAUCACAAAGGUUUUCUUUUCAUAUUGUCAUGGCCUCUUUCAUUUAAGCAUCCUUAGUUGUUUUAGGAGGUCUCCCACAGUGCCAGUUAGCAUACUUUUGAGCACCUGAGGGAGUGUCUUGAAAUCUAAGCCUCCUUUUUAAUUUCACACUCAGUCAAGUUCAACUGCAAUUAAUGGAGGACUCUCUCAUGGAAACAUCAAACAAUGGUUACUUUCAGUGAUUAGCAAGCCUAACUGCUCUAACACAAUCUCUGUAUCCCCAGUCUCUACGAAUGAUUCGUCAGCCCUUCUCCACAAUAAAGAUUACAUGAGAAAAACCUUUCUUGGCUUGCUGUGUAUUUUAUGCUAGA